UUUUUUUUUUUUUUUUUAAAGUCCAAACUAUAUAUAUUAAACCCAAACAUUUUAUUCUCCAAAUUUUGACAUUUUUUGCUAGUUUACCAUUUUUUUAAAAAUUAUAUCUAUAAUAAUAGAGAUCAAGUUAAACAAGAGCAUUUCUCAUAUCCAUUUUUUUUUAAAAUCAUUUGCCAACUUAAGAAUUAAUUUUGGAAUGCAGUGGCAUUUUCAUUUUUCAUUUGGAUGUACAUAUGAGAAAAUUAUAUUCAAUGAUGAUAGGUAGUAUUUUAAUUAUCAAGUACUUAAUGAAUGCGGAUGACUCUAUAAAGAGAAGAAAUCACUCUCUUCUUCUAACAAAAGUCAUAGAAUCCAUGAAAUGAGAUAAGUUCCUAAAACUAAUAUAUAAAUCGAUAUUAUUGAUUAAAAAAAGUUAAGUAAAAUUUAUUUAAAAAUCAUUUAUUAUAAACUAUAAAUUUGUAACUUUCAUAUAAUAGAAAAUAUUUUUAAAAUAGUAAAUUUACUAAAAAUAAUAAGCAACUUUUAAAAUAACUCCAACUCUUUCUCAUGACUCAAGAGAAUUUUUCAACUAUUGCAAAACUUUCCAAACCAAACCCUAAAAAAUCCCAAUAGUAAAAUUUCAUAGAUAGCUUCUUUAUUAGCUUUUAUACCAUUUGAAAAUCCCAGAGACAAAUCUUUCUCAUAUGUGACAUGGGUUUGUAUAAAUCAAGACCAUCCAAAUUGUUGGUACUAUUGUGGACAAAAUCAAAAUGAUCAAGCAAUUCUAACCAUCUCUUUAAUAACUAUCAAUUGAAUGGUUAAAGAUAAAGUAGUGAGUGGUCCAAAUUUGGAAAAAAUCAGAUGGUAAAUAUUAUCUUCUCAUCUAUGCUUGCCGACAAUUGUGUCAUUGAUUUAGAUGAUAACAAUUUCAUUACAAAUAUCGGCCCAGGCCUAAUCUAAUAAAAGAAAGCUAGAGUCCUUCCGACAGAGGUUGUCUACCUCUUGCCUACUUUUUCUGUUGGUACGUUUUUUCUUUUUCUUUUUAAAAGUUUUUGUUCUUUUUAUUGCAACGCCUUCUCUCUCUAUAAGGGUGAGAAAUGAGGAACUCUUACAAGACAUGCCAAGAAAUGGAUAGCUUGGGCAUUUCAAUCAAUGGACUAUUGAAGAAUGAAAUUCUUGUAAAACCUGUAUCACGGAAUUGACAGGAUUGUGCGGUGCAUCAGAGAUGGGGAUUGAGAAUUCUAGAGCCAAAAUUUGUACCUGGUUGAGACACCAUUUCUAUAAUCUGAUUGAUGGGAUCUUCCACACCUUACACCCCUUCAAUGAAGUAUCAGGAUGGGAAUAGAUUUGGGACAUACACCCCUUCAAUGAAUAUCAGGAUGGGAAUAGAUUUGGGACACAACCUUGUUUUUUAUAUUUACCAAGGGUGAGGAGUUUGUAACCAUCGAAAAUCCUCCCCACAAAUUUAGGAUUCCUAGUCUACCUAAAGCACUAUGCAUGUAACACAAUUAUAUCGCACCACCCCUACACGAAUUUCAGAUCAAUAACAAAUGAGUGGUGUCCACUGGUAUCACAUUAUCCAAUCCUUAGGGAGAUCCAAACCAUUGAGGCACACCUUAUAGAAUUCUUACAAUUCUAACAAUGUAGGCAUGCAGUUCAAUAUAGUAAAUAUGUGAAAUCAAUGCCCCAUCAUCUCAGAGAUGCUUUAUUUUUGGGCCAGUGUAUGUUAAUAGUAGGACCCAUAUGUUAAUUGUUUGGAUCUUACAAAAGAUUUCCAUAAUACAUGUUAUGCACGUCUUCAUCAUGCAUUCCCUCCCA